GCCUGGCUGGUUCAGUUGGUAGACCAUGUGACUCUUGAUCUCACAGUCAUGAGCUAGAGCCCCAUGUUGGGUG
rnacentral:tRNA from 1 species